GAUGUUAAGGAAAUUUCAGUUGUUAAGGGAUUUGGGGAUUGAAGGGAGUGUUUUGUGGAGAUUUGGAUUGAGGAGUUUGGAUAGAACCGAAACUAGUAGUGGCAAUUUCGGCUACCCUCUCUCAUUCCUCAAUUUUCUGACAGUUUUGUUGUUUCUGCUUUUGGUUUUUCUCUUUGUUUUCAUCUUUUAUUCUUUUUCUUUUUCUUCCCAUAACUGUUUUUUUCCCAAUCUCGGUUGCUCCUAAUCUUUUGACGUUUUGAAUUUAUUCUCUUUGCAGUGGAAUUAUUGCCAAAAUUUCUAUCGAAAGUUCUUUCCCCACUCACCUAUUUUCUUUUCCUAUUUGCUUCUUUGUGUUCAUUCAUUCUGUGAGUAAGUGUACGUUUUCGUGGUACGGUAAGUUAUGUUUGUACUUCUUGAUUAACUUUUUUUGGUUAAG
rnacentral:lncRNA from 1 species